rnacentral:rRNA from 1 species
GACGAACGCUGGCGGCGUGCUUAACACAUGCAAGUCGAACGGAAAGGCCCUGCUUGCAGGGUGCUCGAGUGGCGAACGGGUGAGUAACACGUGGGUGAUCUGCCCCUUACUUUGGGAUAAGCCUGGUAAACUGGGUCUAAUACUGGAUAGGACCAUGCUGUAGGUGGUGUGGUGGAAAGAUUAGUUUCGGUAAGGGAUGAGCUCGCGGCCUAUCAGCUUGUUGGUGGGGUAAUGGCCUACCAAGGCGUCGACGGGUAGCCGGCCUGAGAGGGUGGACGGCCACAUUGGGACUGAGAUACGGCCCAGACUCCUACGGGCGGCAGCAGUGGGGAAUAUUGCACAAUGGGCGCAAGCCUGAUGCAGCGACGCCGCGUGGGGGAUGACGGCCUUCGGGUUGUAAACUCCUUUCAGCCAUGACGAAGCCCUUGUGGUGACGGUAGUGGUAGAAGAAGCACCGGCUAACUACGUG